GGCGUAAGCGGCCGAGCGUGUCAGAUCUUGCGCGGCUCGCCCCCCGCGACGCACGGUUCGCGCAGUUUCGCGCGUUAUCGCGACGUGGAUCUUCCACCCGGGAAAAAUCCACGCUACUGUAGCCAUCCGCGCGUGACACGGUUUCAGCGGGAUACAGCUGCUGCGAGGAAGCGCGGAAGACUGUCGGGGAAACUGUUGGGUAGCUGCUCGACUUGUUGACGACCGUCCACGGUGCUCGUCGCAUUUCGGAGGUCAAGGUGCGUCUUGAUGCGGCUACGGGGCCUUUCUUCUUCGUCGGCUCGUCCGGAUGAGGAUACUCCCGACGGCCGUUGAUGACUUCAUGAGAUGAGGCGCAAGACUUAUUCGCAAUUAUAUCACAAAGUCGAUGCACGUGCAAGAAGAUAGAGUACGUGCCACUGCUCGAGGUCUCUCGUGCUUUGACAAUCUUACGUGACAGGACGACGAACGCCGAAAAAGUCAUCGCGACCUGCAUUCGAUGCGCUCGCGCCGAUAGCUACUGGCGAUUCGCUCGUUUAACAGUGUAACGGCGAGGCGGCGGGAGUCGGAGCCGGUGAACGUCGUCGAGCGGUGGCGGAGGAGCGAGGGAGAAUGAUAGAACGCGGGGAAAGAGGGAAAGAGCGAGAUGGCGAGGCGCAGGGAGAGAGGAAGGCACCGAGGGUGUGGAGGCAAAAGGAAAGGCGGAGGGGCAGCCGAGAAGGGGAUGCAUAGGAAUGGAGCGCGACGAAAAUACGCCUGCAUGUUCUGCCUGCGCGAGGGUGCGUAACUGGAAGUGCAACCCCGCGGCAUCCGCGUGAGGAGGAAAACAGUUACGCGGCUGCUCACCUAUGGCGAACGCCCAACAGGACGCAUCGCGAGUGAUAAUGGCGACGGGGAAGCAGCGGACGUGGCGUGCAUCCAGCGAAAUGCGCCAACCUCGACGGCUUUUCUUCUCUGGUGAGUCUCUCGCUGUUUUCACUGUUCUUUACAUGCGUUUGCCACGCUAGAUCUCGCGGAACAGACGAAUUGCGAUUACAAAUGUCACGUCAUACGUAUAAUAUAUACAGGAUCCCAGACUCUUCUCCGCAAUUUUUGUAGGAACGGAUGAAAAUAUUUAUACUCGACGAUUUAAACGGAAAAUUCAUUGAAAUUCGUGUGAUUUAGUUGUCACUCUGUUUUUUCUAGAGUGAAAUUCUACUCUAAGAAAUUUAGAGAAUAUUUUUCACAAUU